GAUGAACGCUGGCGGCGUGCCUAAUACAUGCAAGUCGAGCGAACAGACGAGGAGCUUGCUCCUCUGACGUUAGCGGCGGACGUGUGAGUAACACGUGGAUAACCUACCUAUAAGACUGGGAUAACUUCGGGAAACCGGAUCUAAUACCGGAUAAUAUAUUGAACCGCAUGGUUCAAUAGUGAAAGACGGUUUUGCUGUCACUUAUAGAUGGAUCCGCGCCGCAUUAGCUAGUUGGUAAGGUAACGGCUUACCAAGGCAACGAUGCGUAGCCGACCUGAGAGGGUGAUCGGCAACACUGGAACUGAGACACGGACAAGACUCCUACGGGAGGCAGCAGUAGGGAAUCUUCCGCAAGGGGCGAAAGCCUGACGGAGCAACGCCGAGUGAGUGAUGAAGGUCUUCGGAUCGUAAAACUCUGUUAUUAGGGAAGAAAAAAUGUGUAAGUAAAUAUGCACGUCUUGACGGUACCUAAUCAGAAAGCAACGGCUAACUACGUG
rnacentral:rRNA from 1 species